UAGAAGAUAGUUUAGUCGAAAAUUCUGGCUUUGGGAGUCAGUGAUGGAAAAUAAAUUCCUCUUUUAA
rnacentral:tRNA from 1 species